AUUGAACGCUGGCGGCAGGCCUAACACAUGCAAGUCGAGCGGAGCGGCGGACGGGUGAGUAAUGCCUAGGAAUCUGCCUGGUAGUGGGGGAUAACGUCCGGAAACGGGCGCUAAUACCGCAUACUAUCAGAUGAGCCUAGGUCGGUUUAGCUAGUUGGUGGGGUAAAGGCUUACCAAGGCGACGAUACGUAACUGGUCUGAGAGGAGUAUUAGUCACACUGGAACUGAGCCCUGGCCAAGUGCCUUACGGGAGGCAGCAGUGGGAAAUAUUGGACAAUGGGCGAGAGCUUGAUCGAGCUAUGCCGCGUGUGUGAGGAAGGUCUGCGGGUUGUAAAGCACUUUAAGUUGGGCAGCGUUAUCUACACAAUAAGCACCGGCUAACUUCGGGCCAGCCGCCGCUGUAAUAC
rnacentral:rRNA from 1 species